AGGGAAUCUUCCGCAAUGGACGAAAGUCUGACGGAGCAACGCCGCGUGAGUGAUGAAGGCCUUCGGGUCGUAAAACUCUGUUGUUAGGGAAGAACAAGUAUCGUUCGAAUAGGGCGGUACCUUGACGGUACCUAACCAGAAAGCCACGGCUAACUACGUGCCAGCAGCCGCGGUAAUACGUAGGUGGCAAGCGUUGUCCGGAAUUAUUGGGCGUAAAGCGCGCGCAGGCGGUCUUUUAAGUCUGAUGUGAAAGCCCACGGCUCAACCGUGGAGGGUCAUUGGAAACUGGAAGACUUGAGUGCAGAAUAGGAGGGUGGAAUUCCACGUGUAGCGGUGAAAUGCGUAGAGAUGUGGAGGAACACCAGUGGCGAAGGCGACUCUCUGGUCUGUAACUGACGCUGAGGCGCGAAAGCGUGGGGAGCAAAC
rnacentral:rRNA from 1 species